AGAGUUUGAUUCUGGCUCAGAACGAACGCUGGCAGCGUGGAUUAGGCAUGCAAGUCGAACGGGAAUCCAGAGACUCAAGUUUUCGGACGAGAGUUUUUGGAGGAGAGUGGCGGAAGGGUGAGUAACGCGUGGGUAAGCUGCCUCUAAGUCGGGGAUAACCCUUCGAAAGGAGGGCUAAUACCGGAUGUGGUUGCCCCAGUAGUCUGGGGACAAUUAAAGGUGGGGAUUCUUCGGAACCUGCCGCUUGGAGAGGUGCCCGCGUCCUAUCAGCUUGUUGGUGAGGUAACGGCUCACCAAGGCUUACGGGUAGCUGGUCUGAGAGGAUGGUCAGCCACACUGGGACUGAGACACUGCCCAGACUCCUACGGGAGGCUGCAGUCGAGGAUCAUUGGCAAUACGCGAAAGCGUGACCAUGCGUCGCUGCGUGGAGGAUGAAGGCCCUCGGGUCGUAAACUCCUGUCACUCGGGAACAAUAGUGGGCCGGUAAAUAGCCGGUUCGCGUGAUAGUACCGAGAGAGGAAGCCACGGCUAACUCUGUGCCAGCAGCCGCGGUAUACAGAGGUGGCGAGCGUUGUUCGGAUUUACUGGGCGUAAAGGGUGCGUAGGUGGUCUUGUGUGUCAAGUGUGAAAUCCCACGGCUCACCCGUGGAACUGCACUCGAAACUGCGAGACUAGAGUCCAGGAGGGGAGAGCGGAAUUCUUGGUGUAGCGGUGAAAUGCGUUGAUAUCAAGAAGAACACCGGUGGCGAAGGCGGCUCUCUAGAAUGGUACUGACACUGAGGCACGAAAGUUGGGGGAGCAAACAGGAUUAGAUACCCUGGUAGUCCCAACCGUAAACGGUGUGCACUUAGUGUGGGCGGUAUUGACCCCGCCCGUGCUGGAGCUAACGCGUUAAGUGCACCGCCUGGGGAGUACGGCCGCAAGGCUAAAACUCAAAGAAAUUGACGGGGGCCCGCACAAGCGGAGGAGCAUGUGGCUUAAUUCGAUGCAACGCGAAGAACCUUACCAGGGCUUGACAUGGUGCUGCACGUCCCGUGAAAGUGGGAUUCCCUCGAGGGUGCACCACAGGUGCUGCAUGGCUGUCGUCAGUUCGUGCCGUGAGGUGUUGGGUUAAGUCCCGCAACGAACGCAACCCUUGUGGUUAGUUGCCACCGCCGGUGAUGAGCCGGCGAGCACUCUAGCCAGACUGCCCGUACAAGCGGGAGGAAGGUGGGGAUGACGUCAAGUCCGUAUGGCCUUUAUGCCCUGGGCUGCACACGUGCUACAAUGGUCGGUACAGAGGGAUGCAAGACCGCGAGGUGGAGCAAAUCCUCAAAACCGGCCUCAGUUCGGAUUGGAGUCUGAAACUCGACUCCAUGAAGUCGGAUUCGCUAGUAAUGGCGCAUCAGCUACGGCGCCGUGAAUACGUUCCCGGGCCUUGUACACACCGCCCGUCACAUCAUGAAAGCCGUCUGCACCCGAAGUUGCUGAUCCAACCCGUAAGGGAGGAAGGUACUGAAGGUGUGGGUGGUGAUUGGGAUGAAGUAACAAGGUA
rnacentral:rRNA from 1 species